GACGAACGCUGGCGGCGUGCUUAACACAUGCAAGUCGAACGGAAAGGCCCUGCUUUUGUGGGGUGCUCGAGUGGCGAACGGGUGAGUAACACGUGAGUAACCUGCCCUUGACUUUGGGAUAACUUCAGGAAACUGGGGCUAAUACCGGAUAGGAGCUCCUGCUGCAUGGUGGGGGUUGGAAAGUUUCGGCGGUUGGGGAUGGACUCGCGGCUUAUCAGCUUGUUGGUGGGGUAGUGGCUUACCAAGGCUUUGACGGGUAGCCGGCCUGAGAGGGUGACCGGCCACAUUGGGACUGAGAUACGGCCCAGACUCCUACGGGAGGCAGCAGUGGGGAAUAUUGCACAAUGGGCGGAAGCCGGAUGCAGCAACGCCGCGUGCGGGAUGACGGCCUUCGGGUGGUAAACCGCUUUCGCCUGUGACGAAGCGUGAGUGACGGUAAUGGGUAAAGAAGCACCGGCUAACUACGG
rnacentral:rRNA from 1 species